rnacentral:rRNA from 1 species
AUUGAACGCUGGCGGCAGGCCUAACACAUGCAAGUCGAACGGCAGCGGGGGAUAGCUUGCUAUCCUGCCGCCGAGUGGCGGACGGGUGAGAAAGGCAUGGGGAGCUGCCCACUCGAGGGGGAUAACAACUGGAAACGGUUGCUAAUAUCGCAUACGCGCUGCGGGGGAAAGGUGGGGACCUUCGGGCUUCCCGUGAUUUGGUGCACCCAUGUGGGAUGAGCUGGUUGGUGAGGUAAUGUCUCACCAAGGGGACGAUCUCUAGCUGGUCGGAGAGGAUGACGAGCCACACUGGAACGAAGACACGGGCCAGACUCCUACGGGAGGCAGCAGCGGGGAAUAUUGCACAAUGAGGGAAGACCUGAUGAAGCCAUGCUGCGUGUGUGAAGAAGGCCUUCGGGUUGUAAAGCACUUUCAGUCAGGAGAAAGGGGAGCAGACUAAUAUUCUGUUUCAUUGACGUUACUGACAGAAGAAGCACCGGCUGACUCCGUGCCAGCAGCCGCCGCCGUAA